rnacentral:rRNA from 1 species
AGACGACGCUGGCGGCGUGCCUAGUACAUGUAAGUCGAACGGUCUUUCUAUGGAAGCUUGCUUCCACUGAGAAGAUAGUGGCGAACGGGUGAGUAACACGUGGGUAACCUGCCCAUAAGAGGGGGAUAACAUCCGGAAACGGGUGCUAAUACCGCAUAGUUUUCUUGAUCGCAUGAUUGAGAAAGGAAAGACGGCCUUUGUGCUGUCGCUUAUGGAUGGACCCGCGGCGUAUUAGUUAGUUGGUGAGGUAACGGCUCACCAAGACGAUGAUACGUAGCCGACCUGAGAGGGUGAUCGGCCACAUUGGGACUGAGACACGGCCCAAACUCCUACGGGAGGCAGCAGUAGGGAAUCUUCCGCAAUGGACGAAAGUCUGACGGAGCAACGCCGCGUGAGUGAAAGAAGGUUUUCGGAUCGUAAAACUCUGUUGUCAGAGAAGAACAAGUUGGAGAGUAACUGCUCCAGCCUUGACGGUACCUGACCAGAAAGCCACGGCUAACUACGUGCCAGCAGCGGC